GAUGAACGCUGGCGGCGUGCUUAACACAUGCAAGUCGAACGGUGAACACGGAGCUUGCUCUGUGGGAUCAGUGGCGAACGGGUGAGUAACACGUGAGCAACCUGCCCCUGACUCUGGGAUAAGCGCUGGAAACGGCGUCUAAUACUGGAUACGAGUAGCGACCGCAUGGUCAGUUACUGGAAAGAUUUAUUGGUUGGGGAUGGGCUCGCGGCCUAUCAGCUUGUUGGUGAGGUAAUGGCUCACCAAGGCGUCGACGGGUAGCCGGCCUGAGAGGGUGACCGGCCACACUGGGACUGAGACACGGCCCAGACUCCUACGGGAGGCAGCAGUGGGGAAUAUUGCACAAUGGGCGCAAGCCUGAUGCAGCAACGCCGCGUGAGGGAUGACGGCCUUCGGGUUGUAAA
rnacentral:rRNA from 1 species